UGUCAYAAAAGCGGCCGGCGCCACCGCCGUCGUCGACGACGACCACCACUACUACCUUGAACGCUGACCACCCMAACUCUCAUCCACUCUCGCGCACACAUAUCCACCGCCCUCGGCUCGGACGAGACGACCCGCUGAACUUAAGCAUAUCGCUAAGCGGAGGAAAAGAAACCAACCGGGAUUCCCUUAGUAACGGCGAGUGAACCGGGAGAAGCCCAACGCCGAAUCCCGUCGCAAGUAAACGGCUUCGGGACGUGUGGCGCAUGGGUCGAAGGCAGCCGUUCGUUUUCGUCUCGCGUAGUUCGGAGUUCCCUCGAUCGGGGCCGCCCGUGGCGGGUGCCAGGCCCAUUCGGUGCGGACGGCGAGCGACGGCCUUCGAUCCGAGAGUCGGGUUGCUUGGGAACGCAGCCCAAAUCGGGUGGUAAGCUCCAUCCAAGGCUAAAUACCGGGACGAGUCCGAUAGUCGACAAGUACCGUGAGGGAAAGUUGAAAAGAACUUUGGAGAGAGAGUUCAAGAGAACGUGAAACCGCCCAGGGGUAAACGGGUGGGACCGCUCACCGCGAUCGCGGGGGGACUCAGUCCGCUGCUGCCUAGGCUCGAGCCCAAACUCGAUGUGUUCUUUAACGAGAGGCCGCUGCGGACGUCGUCGUGGCGUCGCCGGGGAUUCACGUCUCCGUCGUCGUCCAGCUUUUGUGCCCGCGUCGCCGACGAAGGAGUCGCGCUGCGUAGAUAGUCGGGGCGGGAAGCUUCUUUCCUCCCGGCUCCCUCUGCGCGCUCGUCCCCUUCUUCCUACCUGCUCGGCAAUCCAUGGCGCGGGCGCUUCGGCGCGACGUAACAAACCACCGCACGGUCGGCAGCGGACGCACUUCCCCUCCGGUCCGUCGUCGCGACCCGUUCCCGGCGUGCAGGUCGUACACGCGGGUAUUCCGUAGGCGGCAGGCGCUUCAGAAAACUCUCGCCCUAACCGGCGGGGGCCACCAGCCGUCGGGUCCCGCGAACGUAACUGCCCCUUUCUGCUGGGGACGGAGGAAAACUGACGCGAUCCGUUACACGUGGCGAGCCGGUUCGCCUUUAAUCUCGUCGGAAGUCUCGCGCGGGGAGGUUCUUCCUCCUCCUUUCGGCGCCCCACCGUCUUGGGCGUGCGCGAGAUACGAGACGGGAGAGAACCGGCGCGGCCUCGCCGUCACGCACCACGCUGGUGCGCGGGUCCUUUACUGCCGGGGGAAACUCCGUCAUGCCCGCGCCGUCCGGUGUGGUCGCUCGGCGACGUCCUUCACGGCCGCCCGCCACUUCGGGUCAGCGACGUGCAUCGGCAACCCACCCGACCCGUCUUGAAACACGGACCGAGGAGUCCUGGCCGUUCGCGAGUCGUAGGGGCCCCCACUGACUAACCCCGAAGGCGUAGCGAAAGCGAGAGAGCGUGUCGGAGGGCGUCGACCGGGAGAGGUGUCGUGGCAAAGUCGUGCGGGCGUCGUCGGGGUGAAAAGCGGUUUCGGCCGUCUCUUCUCCUCGCCUCGUCCGCCCUCCACGCCGUGCCCGAUCCCGCCGGCGCGGUGUCUCGUCCUCCGCGUCGUCCUCUCGUCAUCGAUGUUGCCGGCAACGGCGACGACCGGUGACGACGACUGGCGUGGCGAUCGUUUCCUCCUUCCCUCCUUCCGAGGAGAUGGCGGGGCAUCAGCUUACAUCCUCCUACCGUUCAUCGGUGAGAUCCCGCGGCUUGAACUAGUCCUAUUUUGUCGUCGAGUUUAGGCACUGCACGUGGGCGCAUCACCCCCGGGUCGGCGGUGAAAACCUUUCCGAGUACGACUCGGCCGACUCUGGCGUAGCGAGCGGCCAGGGACCCGAAAGAUGGCGAUCCACGCCCGGUCGGGAUGAAGCCAGAGGAAACUCUGGUGGAAGUCCGAAGCGCCUCUGACGUGCAAAUCGAUCGUCGGAACCGGGUGUAGGGGCGAAAGACCAAUCGAGCCGUCUAGUAGCUGGUUCCCUCCGAAGUUUCCCUCAGGAUAGCUGGCGCUCGAUCGUCGCAAUUCCAUCCGGUAAAGCGAACGAUUGGAGGCCCCGGGGCCGUUCACGGCCUCGACCUACUCUCGAACUCGGAACGGGUGGAACGGGUCGACUCUCCCGAACAACGGAGCCGACCCACAUUUUCGCGUGUCACUCGCGUGUCACACGGAAACGAAUGCGAGUGCCAAGUGGGCCACUUUUGGUAAGCAGAACUGGCGCUGUGGGAUGAACCAAACGUCCGGCUAAGGUGCCUAACGCGACGCCCAUGAGAUCCCCGAAAGGGUGUCGGUCGAUAUAGACAGCAGGACGGUGGCCACGGAAGUCGGAAUCCGCUAAGGAGUGUGUAACAACUCACCUGCCGAAUCGACCGGCCCCGAAAAUGGAUGGCGCUGGAGCGACGGACCGAUGCCGGACCGUCGCGGCGAGGAGCGAACAACGCACGCGAUGAGGGGGGUUCGGAAUUCAUUUCGUUCCUCUCGCGCCGUGUGCGCGCGC
rnacentral:rRNA from 1 species